UCCGCCGCCCGCCGCCCCCGGCGCCGCGCGCCCACCCCCCUCAGAAUCCGCCCGGGCACCGCAGUGCAUUGCAACACGCGCAGACGCCGCUGGCGGGACGGGACCCAUCGCCGCCUUCCCGAGCAUCUUUGCAGAGGAGGUGGAUGAGAAGGCAAAUAGUAUUGUCACCUCAGAUACAGAAGCAUGAAGCAUAAAUCAGAUAACGUGACUUAUCCAAGUACAUGUGUUUUCCCCAAGAAAAUCCUUGUGUAUCUAAUUCUAUAUCGACAUUUGCUUCUUAGAGAAUCUGAACUGACACAGGAGUCAUCACAGCAUUUCAAUCUGAAGGUUCUCGAGCUCUUCUGUUUUUCUCUCAACCUUCCUCCUCCCUUAAUAAAUCUCUUGCGCAUGUAAUUUCAUUUUAAAAUAUGCUUUUGGGGGACCUAAGGUGAUACAACAACUUAUCAAGAUUUGUGGCAUGCAGGUAAAGCCAUGCUUAGGGGAAAAUCUUCACGUUAUACACUUAUGUUAUAGAAGAAGAAAGGUCUAAAAUCGAUAUAAUCUACUUAAACUAGGAAAAAGCAAAUUAAACCCAAAGUAUACAGAGGAAAGAAAUAAUAAAAAGCAGCAAAAUUUAAUGAAAUAGAAAAUAUUAAAAAAACAGUAGAAGCAAAUAAAAA